GUGCUUGCUUCGGCAACACAUAUACUAAAAUUGGAACGAUACAGAGAAGAUUAGCAUGGCCCUGGCGCAAGAAUGACACACAAAACGUAAAAGGAAAAACAGUUAGUA